rnacentral:rRNA from 1 species
CAAUACUUUGGUGGCGACCGGCGCACGGGUGCGUAACGCGUAUGCAACCUACCUUUAACAGGGGCAUAACACUGAGAAAUUGGUACUAAUUCCCCAUAACGUUCGAGAAGGCAUCUUCUUGGGUUAAAAACUCCGGUGGUUAAAGAUGGGCAUGCGUUGUAUUAGCUAGUUGGUGAGGUAACGGCUCACCAAGGCAACGAUACAUAGGGGGACUGAGAGGUUAACCCCCCACAUUGGUACUGAGACACGGACCAA